rnacentral:pre_miRNA from 1 species
CCUUAUCACUUUUCCAGCCCAGCUUUGUGAAUCUAAGUGUUGGACGGAGAACUGAUAAGGGUUGG